rnacentral:rRNA from 1 species
GAUGAACGCUGGCGGCGUGCCUAAUACAUGCAAGUAGAACGCUGAAGGAGGAGCUUGCUCUUCUGGAUGAGUUGCGAACGGGUGAGUAACGCGUAGGUAACCUGCCUGGUAGCGGGGGAUAACUAUUGGAAACGAUAGCUAAUACCGCAUGACAACAGUUAUUGCAUGAUAACUGUUUAAAAGGGGCAACUGCUCCACUACCAGAUGGACCUGCGUUGUAUUAGCUAGUUGGUGAGGUAACGGCUCACCAAGGCGACGAUACAUAGCCGACCUGAGAGGGUGAUCGGCCACACUGGGACGGAGACACGGCCCAGACUCCUACGGGAGGCAGCAGUAGGGAAUCUUCGGCAAUGGACGGAAGUCUGACCGAGCAACGCCGCGUGAGUGAAGAAGGUUUUCGGAUCGUAAAGCUCGGUUGUAAGAGAAGAACGAGUGUGAGAGUGGAAAGUUCACACUGUGACGGUAGCUUACCAGAAAGGGACGGCUAACUACGUG